UUUCUAAGAAAACCUUUUCUUUGUAUUUCAGGUGAUAUUUGAAUCUGUCUCUUUGAAAGGACAUCCAGGGUACAUAGCUGUGGAUGAAGUCAGAGUUCUUGCCCAUCCAUGCAGAAAAGCACCUCAUUUCUUACGGCUUCAGAAUGUGGAGGUUAAUGUGGGACAGAAUGCGACAUUCCAGUGCAUUGCCGGGGGGAAGUGGUCCCAGCAUGACAAACUCUGGCUUCAGCAGUGGAAUGGGAGGGACACAGCAUUAAUGGUUACUCGAGUCGUCAACCACAGGCGUUUCUCUGCUACCGUCAGCGUUGCUGACACUUCGCAGCGCAGCAUCAGCAAAUACCGGUGUGUCAUUCGCUCAGAUGGAGGAUCUGGAGUUUCAAAUUAUGCAGAACUAAUAGUGAAAGGUAAGUUGUAUUAAUACAGCAACUUG